AACGAACGCUGGCGGCAUGCCUAACACAUGCAAGUCGAACGAGACCUUCUGGUCUAGUGGCGCACGGGUGCGUAACGCGUGGGAACCUGCCCUUAGGUUCGGAAUAACUCCCCGAAAGGGGUGCUAAUACCGGAUAAUGUCUUCGGACCAAAGAUUUAUCGCCUUUGGAUGGGCCCGCGUUGGAUUAGCUAGUUGGUAGGGUAAAAGCCUACCAAGGCGACGAUCCAUAGCUGGUCUGAGAGGAUGAUCAGCCACACUGGGACUGAGACACGGCCCAGACUCCUACGGGAGGAAGCAGUGGGGAAUAUUGGACAAGGGGCGAAAGCCUGAUCCAGCAAUGCCGCGUGAGUGAUGAAGGCCUUAGGGUUGUAAAGCUCUUUUACCAGGGAUGAUAAUGACAGUACCGGGAGAAUAAGCGCCGGCUAACUCCGUG
rnacentral:rRNA from 1 species